AUCAUACUAUUCUUCCAGGCAAGGGGAGGUGAAAGGAUAAAGUCCAGAUUUAGUUCAGGUAUACCUUUUGUUAAAAAAAGAAAAAAAAAAAAAACUUGAGUGAGUAAAUGUGAAGAUCUAUUUGGCUUAUUAAGGGAUUAAUGAAUCUGGCAACAUCCCAUCAAGCAAGUAGAGAGAUGCCCUGAGAAGUUAUACAAAAGGGAAAGUUUUUAUAGGUAGGAGCAUGGGGCGAUGAAGCUGUUAGCAGAAAUAAGAAUUGUUUCAGGCCAGGACAUCCUUUUUUUUUUUUUUUUUUUUAGGUGUGAAGGGAUGAGCAGGGUUGUUUUUAAUCAUGAAGAUCACCUCACUACUGCUGAUCAGUAGUUUGGGAUUGAUUUUUAAAAGGUCACAUCCAUGGAGUAGGUUGAAACUGUAAGUCUUGUUUUGUUCAUGUGAGGAGCAAAGGACUCCGUUUGGGACUUGUUUCUCUGACACUUUAUAGGAAUUGGUACUGAGGAGAGACAGUUUAACCAACCUGGAGCUGAAGCCCAGCUGCCAGCACAAAAGUCCUGUGUCGUUGCCUGGAGCAUGUUGCUAGGGAACGAGGGCACUGGUGUCGAGGGACAAAGAUGAUCUUUGCAGAGAUGCUGCAGGGCUUUUGCCACUGACGGUAAAAGAGUGGUCUUUACCAGGGCAGGAGCUAAGUGCCCCAAGUUCUUCAAGAACUAUUUCAGAUGAGCAAAUGUUGCCUUGCCCAGACCAAACACUCUCAGUUCUUGCAAACUCUUAGUAUUUAUGGUCAGAUUUCCCCUUGACUUAGUUGCUUCUCUGUAUGUCUUUAAUGAUAAGCCCCCAGCAGGGCCUUCAGCAGCUGAGCGACUGACUUCUCAUGGGCAAGAACAAAUAGAAGAAUGAAGGAUGUCAUCAUCUUAUCAAAACAACCCCUGAAAACAUUUUUUUUUUUGUCUUUGUCAUAAGUGGCUUUGAAAUCACAUCAAACUAAUACACAACUGUAAAGCUGAAGGAAUCUGGACUGCCUUGCCAGGAAGGGACAGGCUCGCUGGCCAGGGUAGCCUGGAGUCUUGGUAAACCCAGGACGCCAGCAGGCAACCAGCCUAAAAUGGGGACUGUUGCCAGUUUAAAAACUAUUGCCACCUCAGAAAGAUUUACAGGGAGUGGGCUUUCUUCAUUCUGGAGGCCGCGCACGUGGCUAGGAACCAGUCCCAGCACCACAGGCUUGGAGGGCCUCAGCUUCCCGAGGCCAGAGUUUGUUUGUUUGUUUGUUUUGUUUUGUUUUCUCUAUUAAUCUGUUCAAUGCUAAUUUAAUUCUCAGGCCAGCUAGAAGAACCUUGAAGGAUAAAUUGAAAUUUCUCCUGCCCAACAGAUACAAGGUGUUUACUGAGCAUGAAUGAGAGGCUCCGUUCAGGGUACACAGGCCAGUUAGAAGGACCUUUGAAGGAUAAAUUAAAAUUUUUGCUGCCCAAGCAUAGUCCGGGGCAAAUGGUAACUAGCUGGACACUGCUACAGCUGAGAAAUCCUGAGACAUCUGACAAAUAGCUGUCAGAAGGAAUUACGUAGGACAUAAUGCGAACAUAAACUCUUCUAAGCCUGCUGUCCAAGCCAGCCUCGCAGACUGGACCAGUGAGAAUCGUCUCUCAUUUCUGCCAUCUAGAAGGUGUACUCACCUGAGUGCACCCUGGUGGCCAAACAGACUGGGGUUCCAUGAUCCACAGCCACACAUAUUAAAACUUUUAACCCUCAAGAACUUUAAGAUCCAGUGAAAACUGAGAAAGAAAAUGUCUCCAUAUGCAAGAAAAAUAAGAUGUAUGCUUUCAGUAAAAGAAGGAAUGAGAGAAAAAAAGUAACUUUGUCCUACAGUGAGCCUGGUUAUUUAUAUAGGAAAAACUUAGGACAAAAUCUGAAUUUUAAAAAAAGUUACAAAAGUUUUGUGA